rnacentral:rRNA from 1 species
AUUGAACGCUGGCGGCAGGCCUAACACAUGCAAGUCGAGCGAGCGGCGGACGGGUGAGUAAUGUCUGGGGAUCUGCCCGAUAGAGGGGGAUAACUACUGGAAACGGUAGCUAAUACCGCAUACUAUCAGAUGUGCCCAUAUGGGAUUAGCUAGUAGGUGGGGUAAUGGCUCACCUAGGCGACGAUCCCUAGCUGGUCUGAGAGGAUGACCAGCCACACUGGAACUGAGACACGGUCCAGACUCCUACGGGAGGCAGCAGUGGGGAAUAUUGCACAAUGGGCGCAAGCCUGAUGCAGCCAUGCCGCGUGUAUGAAGAAGGCCUUCGGGUUGUAAAGCACUUUCAGCGAGGAGGCGUUACUCGCAGAAGAAGCACCGGCUAACUCCGUGCCAGCAGCCGCGGUAAUUC